rnacentral:rRNA from 1 species
UACGUAGGGUGCAAGCGUUGUCCGGAAUUAUUGGGCGUAAAGAGUUCGUAGGCGGUUUGUCGCGUCCGUUGUGAAAACUCGAGGCUCAACCUCGAGACGCCGGUGGAAACUGCAAAGCUAGAGUCCGGAAGAGGAGAGUGGAAUUCCUGGUGUAGCGGUGAAAUGCGCAGAUAUCAGGAAGAACACCCGUGGCGAAGGCGGCUCUCUGGGACGGUACUGACGCUGAGACGCGAAAGCGUGGGGAGCGAACAGG